rnacentral:sRNA from 1 species
AUUGAUCGAGGGUAUUUUCAUUGUCUGAUUCGAAGAAUUGGGCUCGUUCGGGGAAAGGUCGAUCGAUGUGCAAAUCUAGGUUCUGGUUCAGGAGGUCUGUUGUCUUCACAUUUGAGCUGGUUACUUGACUUUCAAGUAUCUUAGAUGGCUUCUGGUUGAUUGACUUCUCAUUCUUAUUGGUUUGCUUUCUGAUUGCAGAUUGUUGGGCAUGGAAAACUGGUGUUCACUGAAACUUUGUGCCUGGUGCCGUGGCAUUUGAAUUGAAAUGGAGGAACAUCAUGAUGCAGUCGGCUGACACAAAGCAGUGGUGGUUUUGGAAGCAUAGAGGGUUCAAGUUGUGUUGGAAGCCAGCUUUCCAGACCUUCAAGGUGGGAAGAAACACACUGAAAUACCUUUCCACCCUUUGGAACUGAAGUCUCACAGUCAACUUAUCCUAAAUAGAAAAUGCCCACAGCACAGAAAUGUUGAUAUGGAUGGUUAAAUUAAGAGCCAUUCAUUCAUUGAACUUCAUAUUAAAAUAGGCCCUUGUGCAUUGCCAGCA